rnacentral:rRNA from 1 species
GUGAGGAAUAUUGGACAAUGGGCGCAAGCCUGAUCCAGCCAUGCCGCGUGAGUGAUGAAGGCCUUCGGGUUGUAAAGCUCUUUAGUCCACGAAUAUAAUGACUGUAGUGGAAGAAUAAGCCCCGGCUAACUUCGUGCCAGCAGCCGCGGUAAUACGAAGGGGGCGAGCGUUAUUCGGAAUCACUGGGCGUAAAGCGUGCGUAGGCUGUUUUGUAAGUCAGAAGUGAAAGCCCAGGGCUUAACCCUGGAAUUGCUUUUGAAACUACAAGACUCGAAUUCGGGAGAGGAUAGCGGAAUUGUCAGUGUAGCAGUGAAAUGCGUAGAUAUUGACAGGAACACCAGUGGCGCAAGCGGCUAUCUGGACCGAUAUUGACGCUGAGGCACGAAAGCGUGGGGAGCAAACAGGAUUAGAUACCCUAGUAGUCC